rnacentral:rRNA from 1 species
UACGUAGGGGGCAAGCGUUGUCCGGAUUUACUGGGCGUAAAGCGCGCGCAGGCGGUCCUUUAAGUCUGAUGUGAAAGCCCACGGCUCAACCGUGGAGGGUCAUUGGAAACUGGGGGACUUGAGUGCAGAAGAGGAGAGUGGAAUUCCACGUGUAGCGGUGAAAUGCGUAGAGAUGUGGAGGAACACCAGUGGCGAAGGCGACUCUCUGGUCUGUAACUGACGCUGAGGCGCGAAAGCGUGGGGAGCAAACAGG